UACAGAGGGUGCAAGCGUUAAUCGGAAUUACUGGGCGUAAAGCGUGCGUAGACGGUUAUGUAAGUCAGAUGUGAAAGCCCCGGGCUCAACCUGGGAAUUGCAUUUGAGACUGAAUAGCUAGGGUACGGUAGAGGGAAGCGGAAUUUCCGGUGUAGCGGUGAAAUGCGUAGAUAUCGGAAGGAACAUCAGUGGCGAAGGCGGCGAUCUGGGAAGAUACUGACGCUGAGGUGCGAAAGCGUGGGGAGCAAACAGG
rnacentral:rRNA from 1 species